GCUCAGGCUCAGCUAGAAACACCUGCUCACCUGGAAAAGCUGUUGGACUCACCUGCUCAGAGCCUGAUGAUGUCAGGUUGGUGGGAGGAGCCAGUCGCUGUGCAGGAACACUGGAGCUGAAACAUCAGGGAGAAUGGAGACCAGUGAGUGACCUUUUCUCUGACUGGACCCUGAAGACAGCAGCUGGUGUCUGUAGAAAGCUGGACUGUGGCUCUGCUGUUUCUGUAGGACAGAGAGAGGAGUCCUCAGACAGACCUGUGUGGUUGAUCUGGUCUGACUGUGUUCAGUCUGGAUCUGUUCUGAGGGAGUGUGUACUAUUAUAUUUUACCUCUUCCUCCAUCGUAGAGCUCACCUGCUCAGACUCUGUCAGGCUGCUGGACGGGACUAGUCUGUGCUCAGG